rnacentral:rRNA from 1 species
CGGUAAUUCCAGCUCCAAUGGUGUAUGCUAACAUUGUUGCAGUUAAAAAGCUCGUAGUCGAAUUUUUAAGGGAACCAAUUUCGUGUGGUCUUAAUGAACUACAAAGGAAUAUGGUUUAUCUUAUUUUAUGCUUGUACACCGUUGGAAUUCGUUUUCUGACGGUGAGUUAAGUUUGUGUUUAUUUUGAAAAAAUUAGAGUGUUCUAAGCAGUCUUACGGCUUUAUCCUAAAGCAUGGAAUGAUAAGUAAUGACAUCGGUUAAUUUCUGUUGGUUUGAGAUGCUGAUGUAAUGAUUUAUAGAGUUAGUCGGAGGUAUUAGUAUUUUGUCGUUAGAGGUGAAAUUCCGGGAUCGACAAAAGACUAACAACUGUGAAAGCAUUUGCCUAGGAUUUGCUCCUUGAUCAAGAACGUAAGUUGGGGGAUCGAAGACGAUCAGAUACCGUCGUAGUCUCAACUUUAAACUAUAUCAGCUAGGGGUUGGCAAAUGUUUAUAUAACUUUGUUAGAACCUUGGGAGAAAUCUAAGCGUUUGGGUUCCGGGGGGAGUAUGGUCGCAAGGCUGAAACUUAAAGGAAUUGACGGAAGGGCACCACAAGAUGUGGAUCCUGUGGCUUAAUUUGACUCAACACUGGAAAACUUACCAGGUCCAGACAUAGGUAAGAUUGACAGACUGAUAGCUCUUUCUUGAUUCUAUGGGGUGGCGGGGCAUGUCCGUUCUUAGGGGGUGGAGUGUUUGGUUUGGUUAAUUCCGUUACCGAACGAGACUAUUACAUAUUAAAUAGUAUAAUAUUUUAAUUAGGAUAGUUGCUUAUUAGAGGGACUGACUUAGCAUAAAGGAAUGGAAGUUCGUAGCCAUAUCAGGUCUGUCAUGCCAUUUGAUGUCCUGGGCAGCGCACGCAAUACAAUAGGAGAGUAACUGAGCUUGUUCUACUUAACUCGAAAUGGGCUGUGAAAUCUCAAAUCUAUUCUUUAAUUGGGAUCGCGCUAUGAAAUUUUUUCGUGCAAGCCAGGAAUACAUAGUAAGGGUAUGUCAU